rnacentral:lncRNA from 1 species
GUGUCGCGCCAAACUUUCAGAUCGCAAACAAAGUGGAAACACGAUAGAUCCAUGUUGUGCCAUCUCCCAAUUUCCCAGUUGUCAAAUUCCAUAGACACGACGCGAUAGCACCGCGUCGCAUCAGCCUGCCAAAUUGGGAAAUUUUGAUAAAAAAUAAAUAUUUUGUCGAGGGAUAAAUUGGCCUUUUCCUAAGGUUUUAAAACGUCUAGCUGCGGAAUUUAAUCCCUAAAAAUGUUUUAAAUCAUUAUUUACUCACUUGUUUUUCCCCAAAUCAAGAACAUUCUCUCCUAAGAAACAAAAUCCUAGCUUUCAAGAAAUCAAAGCUAAUUCUGAGAAUCUCUCCAAGAACUUCAAGAAGCUUAUAAUCAAGGUAUGUGAAGUGUUGAUUCAUGGGUCCCUUUCACCCAUAAAGCUUAAGAAUCUCUUUUCAAAGUUCAAGUUUUUAUGAAUCCCAUGUUGGGUUUGCUUUUGUUCAUGUUGAUAAUGACCAAUUGAAUUUUAAUCCAUGUUUGGUAAUAAAUUUUAUGUGGAAUUAGUUAUUAUAUGAGUAGAUUCAUGUGAACCCAUGAUUAAACCCUUGAAUUGUGAAAUUACAAUUGAAUCAUGAUAUUUACUUGUGCAAUGUUGUCUACAUAUAUACUAUGUUCAUUAUGUGCUUGAUGAAUUGCCUAUGUGAACUAAUAAGAAAAGAAAUCAUGCCAUGAUUAGUUUAUGUGCAAGUGUUUGAUAAAUUAUCCAUGAGAAUUGAUUAAUGCCACGAUAUAGUAUGCAAUUAUGUAUUCCCCAUUCAUGUACAAGUGAUACACCCCAAGUGUUUGUUGAAAUGUCUUAAUGAAUGAAUCAUGAGUAUAUAGCCAUUGUUGGGCUUUUAGGUUUGCAUCAUGAUUUACAUAUUAUGCUAUCGAGUCCUGGGGGUAUCUAAUACCCGAAAAUUUAGUUGUGUGCCUAAAGCCAGUGUCAUGUUUUCAUGAUAUCUUCAAUUAAGCCAUGUUCAAUAGAAUUCAGUCGGUCAUGUGACUCAGGAAAAUACAGUAAUCCCAGUAAUCUCAGUGUUUCAGUAAUCUCAGUAGUAUUCCGUCAGUCAACGGAACUCAAUGAACUCAGUCCAGUUCAGUUCAGUUAAUCAUGUUCAGUGUCUAUUCAAAUGGGAGUAGGAUUUAGAACCGAGUGAACCCAAGGAUGAGGACACACACUGGCAGUUGAGGGUGUGAUCCUUAGAAGCAAUCUUUGCGUUCCAGAACUAUGUGGCCAACAUAGGUUGAGACAUCAACACUGACAGAUGAGGGUUGUUGAGGUGGAUAAACACUGUCAGAUGAGGGUCCCACUGUUCUCUUUUAGGGACACUGUCAGAUGAGGGUCACCCACAGCUUGUGUUUAUUAGUGGCGUAGUAUUGACACCCUUCCAAUUGGGGUUACAGAUUGGACCCCAACCUAUUUAUAUUGCUUUAUUUGGGAUAUGUCGGUUAGAUAACUAUUUCCCACAGUUACAAUUUUAGACUCAGUCUCAGUAAUAAAACUCAGAUAGGUCUUUAGAAUUUCAGGACUGUCAAAUAUAGUCAACUCAAAAUAGUACGGAACUCAGUUAGUUCCAUCAAAACCUAAACUGUCAGAUAUAGUCACUCAGUAUCAGUUAUAUCAGUUAUCAAUGACUCAUGCUAUCAGUAAUUAGAUUCAAUAGUAGUACCAUCACGAAUUCAGUCACAGUCACUUAUUUAUGCAUGUAUUCUCAUGUUCAUGUUAUUUAAUCAGUUAGCAUUGUUCAUGCAUUUAAACCCUUUGAAUUCAGCCUACCUUACUUGCAUACUAGUACAUUCAAAUGUACUACACAUUUAUGCUAUGAUGUUUUAUACUAUAGGUUCAGAAGCAUGAGCUCUAGAGCAUCAGUAACAUUCCAGUUUCAGCAUUCAGAGUUAGCUGUGAUUCCUCAUCCUUUGAGGACAUGAUCAUUACUUUAUUUCUUCAUUACUUAGUUUAUUUCAGUAGUUGGAGUUAGUUGGGGACAUGUCCCAUCAACUCCUUAUUCAGACAGUUUAGAGGCUUUCAGACUAUAGUAUUUUCAGACUAGAUAUUUUCAGACAUUAUUUUAGUUUUGGUAUUGUUGUACCACAUUAUUCAUAUAUGGUUUUAUCAUAUGUUUAUCAGUUUUGAACCUUAUGACAUGUUUCAGCCUACUAUUUCCUCAUUUAUACAGUAUAUUAUGCAGUGUUUAGGUACAGAUAUCAGUCAUGGGUUAGCUUGUGGUCCUUCGGGAUCAUGAGCACCGUGUAGCAAUCUGGGUACCAGAUGCAGGGCGUUACAAACUUCCUUCCUAAGUUGGGGUGUUAUAAAUAUUAUAAGAUCUGGAUCGCCGGUGAUUCACCAUCAAUUUUCUAGUCUUGUAAAAUUAGUAAAUUACUUAUAAACAUACUCCCAGUAUAUGGUUAUUCUCUCAGUGUUUUAAGUAAUAACGCUGGAUUAAUCUGUAAAUUCCUAGGGAUUUGAAAAGUUCUCUUAAAAAGGACUGUUGUUAUUCUCCCGAGGUAUGAUUAAAGAAGAUAUUACUAAAAUACCUAAAACCAAAGAGAAAGAGAUGAACAGGGUAUGAAAAAAGAAAUCAAAAAAUGCAAAAAUAUUUUAUUUUUGGGAAAAAAUAUACUUUGAUUUUUAUGACUUGAACACUUACACUGGACUAUGGACAAUGAAGGAGGGAGUAUUGAGUAGGAUUUUACACCAUAUAAAAACACAUCCACAUUAAGUCUGCUUUAUUUUCUCAUAACUACUAACCUGCUUUAAUUACUUUUCUUAACUUGUUUAUUUACUUUGCUUAUAACAUAUACUAAAACCUGCUUAUUAAUUAUUUGCUUUGUAUAAUUUAUUAUCUAUCCGUCCAGUUAAUUAUUAUUGUUAUCUAUUAUCUGUUUUAUUAUAUUCUCUAUUGUUAUUAUUAUUAUUAUAUAUUAUCUAUCUAUCUAUCUGUCUGUCUGUCUGUCUGUCUGUCUAUCUAUAUUGUAUCUAUCUGUCUCUAUUAUUAUCUGUUUUUAUUAUAUCUAUUCAUUUUAUUAUAAUUAUAUCUAUCCGUAUUUAUUAUAAUCUAUCUAUAUUAUAUUUAUAUUAUCUGUUUGUUAAUAUUAAAAACACCGGCGAAAUGCGGGCGAUCCAGAUCUUAUAAUAUUAAAGACACAUCUACUAACAAUUAAAUAUGUACACAUCUACUAAUAAUUAACUAUGUAUUAAUAAGUAAUGAAUUUUACAAGAUAAAAAAACUGACGGUAAACUGCCGGCGAUCCAAAUCUUAUAAUAUUAAAAACACAACUAAAAUAAAAUCUGAACUUGAUUAAUUCAAACAUAAUUUACAAACUUGAGUGAAAAAUACAAAGAUCUAUGUAAUGACUACUUACAUGUUUUAAAAAAGAAGUGAGGUUUCCCUUUCAGGAGUCUCCUGAAAACUUGACAGCUACCAAAAAAUGAAGAACUAAGAAACUAAUAUAGUCUUUUUUACACACUCUUUUUUUUAUGAAGAACUAACUUACAAACUUUGAAAACUAAGAACUUUAUGAAAAACUAAGAACUUUCUCACUCUUGAUUUUUUCUCUCUAGCUACUUAUAUUUAAGUCUUCCAAAGGGGGGUAUUUAUUGGAAUUUGUGGACUACAAAUACACUUUAAGGAUUCCAAUCCAUUUAUAUUUUAUAAGACUUUAGCAAGACUUUUGGAAACUUGGGUGGGGCCUACGAUCACAUGGCUAUGUCUUUACUUUAUCCAUUUAUUUAUUUAUCUGUUACAUCAUCGCGUGUCUGUAAUUUUGUCUUUCGUGGAUAUUGUCAUUACUUACGUAUCCAGAUUAUGUAAUGCUUCUGAAUCAAACUCCAUUUCUAAAUCUUCAUCGAUAUUAGGGUCUUGUGUAAAUUGAUCCAUGACUGAGUUGUAGCCUCGUUCAUACUCGUCACUGUCUUCAUUUGGAUAGUCCCACUCUUGUUUCUGCUCUAGGUGAUCUUGUCUCUUCUCUUGGAAUUAAGAAAAUUCUGGGUUUUGGCUCUAGCGGUUCUGGAUUCAUUGUUAUUUUUUGGACAGUUGUUCUGCUAACAAUUUUUUUAUAGAGUCCACUAUCAAUUUUUUCUAUAUUUCUUUUUUUCUCAAGAAAAAACCUUUUUUAGUCUGAGAAGGACUUCUUUCGUCUGUGGUUUGAGUACCUGUGUUCUUCAAACUGGCUGGGAGUAUUCUCCCUACACUUUUUGACAAAGUGUCAUCCAUCAAUGGAUUUGAUAAGUCUUUACCAUCUACCGUUUGAGCUAGACUAGCUGUAUCAUUACUCGAUACAGUAGGUCUUUCUAUAUUCGUUGGGGAAUGCACACCCAUUAACGGAUUUGAUAAGUCUUUACCAACUACCGUUUGAGCUGGACUAUUUGAGCUGGACUAGCUCUAUCUUUACUCGAUACGGUGGGUUUUUUCAUUUUUGAAGAAAAUGGAGAAUUUGUUAGAAUUUUUUGAGUUUAAUAAAUUGGCUGAGUCUGUUGUGAAAGUUCAAAAUGAAGAAUUUUUAUACGAUCUUGUAAAAUACUUAUAUGUUCUAAUAUUUGUCCUUUUUCAUUUACAUAAUUUUUCAUUAUCUUGUCUUAGAACCUCAUUGGCGUGAUUUAGUUUUCUAAAAGCUUCAGUCAUUAAGGAGCAAUGAUCAUAAAAUAUUAUUUUGUCCGUGUCCUUUUUAAUAUUAUAUUGAGGAUUUUUUUGCGUUUCUGGUCGUAAAGAAUAAUUUAGCUCUAAAUUUAUACAUGCAUAAUCUAAAGCCUCUGUUAAAUCAUCAAAGCCUUUAUAGAGAGGGGUUGUAUAAUCUUUUACAGAAUUCAUUACCUCUGUCCAUGUCUGAAAUACUCCCUGUGUCUUUCCCCUAAGAACAACAUAAAAUUUAAAUUUGUUAGUGCUAUUUUUCUCAGUAAAAUAAUAACUUAAAGCAUUCAAGACUGAAAUAAAGUAUCUAAUGUCUUUUGGUGUCUUGUUGUAGGAGAUCCAUAAUUUGUCGAUCAAGCAAAUCUGUCAUUUAUCCACCCUUACAUCUGGUUUCAAUUUGAAAAUUAGAUUGGAUGGCUCAUAACUGGCUAGAUUAUGAGGCCUAAAAAUCAGUCUUUCUGAUUUCGGAUGUUCCAACAUUGUUAGUGGCCUGUAACGAGUGUUGCUUAGUAAUUUGUUUAAGUAGUCUUGAGAGGAUGACAUCUUUCCUUUGUUUUUGUCUGUAUACAUACUGAAACAAAAAUUGUUAGUUGUCUUCUUUUAUUAGUCUACUUAGAUGAUCUGCUAGGUUAUUAUCUUUACCUUUAAUAUGUUCUAGAACAAUAUUAUAAAUUGAAGUGGUUUUUAGGAAAUUUAACCACCUCCUUUUACUACUAUUCUUCUCCUUUAUUUUCUGAUAGAAUUUUACUAUAACCUCGCAGUCUGUUCUUACUAAGAUUUCUGACUUAUUUAAUAUAUAAAGUUUAAAGCUAUUCAAAUCGUAAAUUACUGCUAAUGUCUCCACAUCUAUGCUAUUUAAUUUGCCCUUUUCUUUAUAUUCUCCACUUGAAUAAGCACAUAUUUUCUCAUCCUUUUUGUCACUAUAUUUGUUAGGCUUCGCUUUUAAUACUGCUCCCCAUCCUUGAAGACUUUCGUUUGUCUCAACUAUUAAAUAAUCUGUUUCUAAUGGUAACGUUAAGUAUGGGAUGUCUUGUAUCAUGCUUUUAAGUUGUUGGACUAAUUUUAUAUCUUCAGUAUUAAAGGUUUUUCGGCCUGUUGAUCCAGGACAAGUAUUUGUUAAGUGCUCUAUACUACCGCAGGUAAAACAUUCUAAUUUAUUUUUAUAGAUUCUAUUGGUAUUAUAUUUUCUUUUAUGUUUAUUCUUAUCUAGGUAUGGAUUCUUUGCAGUUGAUCUGGAGAAAAUAUACUUUGAUCUUUAUAAUUUGGACACUUACACUGAACUAAGGACAACGAAGGAGGGAGUACUGAGUGGAUUUUAUACCAUAUAAAAACACAUCCACAUUAAGUCUGCUUUAUUUUCUCAUAACUACUUACCUGCUUUAAUUACUUUUCUUAACUUGUUUAUUUAUUAAGAACAUAUUUUCUCAUCCUUUUUGUCACUAUAUUUGUUAGGCUUUGCUUUUAAUACUGCUCCCCAUCCUGGAGUACUGAGUAGGAUUUUACACCAUAUAAAAACACAUCCACACUAAGUCAGCUUUAUUUUCUCAUAACUACUUACCUGCUUUAAUUACUUUUCUUAACUUAUUUAUUUACUUUGCUUAUAACAUAUACUAAAACCUGCUUAAUAAUUAUUUGGUUUGUUUAAUUUAUUAUCUAUCUGUCCAGUCAAUUAUUAUUGUUAUCUAUUAUCUGUUUUAUUAUAUUCUCUAUUACUAUCUGUCUGUUUGUCUGUCUAUCUAUCUUAUUAUCUGUUUUUAUUAUAUCUAUUCAUUUUUAUUAUAAUUAUAUCUAUAUUAUAUCUAUCUGUAUUAUUGUCUCUUUAUUAUCUUUAUACAUCUAUUAUUAUAUUUCUGUUCAUUACAUUAUACUAUCUAUCUAUACUAUAUCUAUCUGUCUAUACUAUAUUUAUAUAAUUUGUUUAUUAUUUAUAUAAUUUGUUUAUUAUGACUUGGACACUUACACUGGAUAAGGACAACGAAGGAGAGAGUACUGAGUAGAAUUUUACACUAUAUAAAAACACAUUCAUGGACUCUUUAAUCAUAAAACAAAAUAAUAUUAUAAUUUUAUUACUAUUAGAACUUAAUAAAAAUAUAAAAGAAGAAAAACAAAGAGACAGUCAAGAUAAAGCUAUAGAUUCCUUCAAAUUGUAAAUUCAUUGAUUUUUUCUGUUUAACUUUAUUAUUUUCAACAAAUGUAUUUAAUAAUUCUACCUCUACUAAAUCUUUUUUCUCUAAUUAUCUCUUUGAUGUACACUCUUAUCUUUAAUUUUCUUAGUCUUUCUUCUAAUUCUAAUAUUCUGUCUUCUGUUGUUCUAGUUAUUAGUUCAUUGUUGUAAAAUUUAUUUAAAUUACAGGUUAAUUUUGGAGUUUCUAAGAUUUCUGAUGCCUUCUCUAUACAUUUUAUGCAUCCAAACGGAUUUGAUAAGUUUUUACCAACUACCGUUUGAGCUGGACUAAUUGUAUCAUUAUCAUAAUUCCAUUUUCUUUCUACUUAUUAUUAUUCCAUUAUCUACAAAUAAUUUAAAGACUUGUUGUAAAUUUCCUAAAUGUUCGCUCAUAUUAUUACUAAAAACUAGAAUAUCAUCUACAUAAACCAAUAUAAAAUUUUUAUAACCUCCAAAAAUACUAUCCAUUUUUCUUUGAAAAAUUGGAGGAGCCGUCUUUAAUCCGAACGGCAUGACCAGCCAUUUAAAAUGUCCUUCUGGACAUGUGAAAGCUGUCCAUUCUUUAAGAAAUCAAAAUUUAAUUUAAUUUUACUUGACAAAUUCUUUUGUUUGUUUUGUAGGUUUUCUAAUAUCUCUAGAGUUUUUAAUAUUUUUGUAUUUUCUUUUUGCACUUUUUUUUCUAGGUUUAUUAUAAAGUCUGUAAUAGUAUUUAGUUGUGGAUUAGCUCCAUGUAAUAUAUGUUCUCCGUUGUUAAAAUUACACCAAAUGUCGAUGAAGAUUCAGGAAUGGAGUUUGAUUCAGAAGCAUUACACAAUCUGGAUAUAUAAGCAAUGACAAUAUCCUUGAAAGACAAAAUUACAGAUAUAUGCGAUGAUGUAACAGAUAAAUAAAUAAACGGAUAAAGUAAAGACAUAGCCAUGUGAUCAUGGGACCUACCCAAGUUGCCAAAAGUCUUGCUAAAGUCAUGAUUUUCUCUCUAGGUACUUAUGUUUAAGUCUUCCAAAGAGGGGUAUUUAUAGGCAUUUGUGGACUUAAAACUUUGACUGUACUUAUCUCCUUUUCUUCAUUACAUACCAUCCCUUCAAAUGGUAAAUUCAUUGAUUUUUUCUGUUUAACUUUAUUAUUUUCAACAAAUGUAUUUAAUAAUUCUACCUCUACUAAAUCUUCUUCUCUAAUUAUCUCUUUGUUGUACACUCUUAUCUCUAAUUUUCUUAUUCUUCCUUCUAAUUCUAAUAUUUUGUCUUCUGUUGUUCUAGUUAUUGGUUCUUUGUUGUAAAAUUUAUUUAAAUUAUGGGUAAGGCUUUGAUGAUUUAACAGAGGCUUUAGAUUAUGCCCGUAUAAAUUUAGAGCUAAAUUAUUUUACUACCCCAUCUUUAAGACCAGAAACGCAAAAAAUUCUUCAAUAUAAUAUUAAAAAAGACACGAACAAAAUUAUAUUUUGUGAUCAUUGUUCCUUUAUGACUGAAGCUUUUAGAAAACUAAAUCACGACAAUGAGGUUUUAAGACAAGAUAAUGAAAACCUUGUAAAUGAAAAAGGACAAAUGUUAGAACAUAUAAGUAUUUUACAAGACCAUAUAAAAAUUCUUCAUUUUGGACUUUCACAAAAGACUCAGCCAAUUUAUGAGACUUAAAAAAUUCUAAAUAAUUCUCCAUCUUCUUCAAAAAUGGAAAAACCCACUGUAUCGGGUAAAGACACAGCUAGUCCAGCUAGUAUAUUUUCUCCCAAAAAUAAAAUAUUUUUGCAUUUUUUGAUUCUUUUGAUUUAGCUACGAAUUGAUAAAACAUCUUAAAAGGUGAAGACUCAGAAUUGAUUUAUAGUAUAGAAGAAAGUAUAAAAGAAUUUAUGGAAAGUGCAGCAAGCAUUGCAAGCCACACCAUAUAUAAUAAAGUCUCUUAGAAUCUUAGGGUCCUGAUACCAAUAAUAAACAAAUUAGUUUUUAGUAAUAAUAUGAGAGAACAUUUAGGACAUUUACAAUAUCUGAUUUUUGACUUCUUUUAAAUCUAUUAUCUACUUCUUGUAAUUCUGUCCAAAUUUCUUCUCUAGAUUCUAAAGAAAGCUCAAAUAACUUAAUACUUAACUGCCUAUGUUGUAGUAAUACAUUAUAUAAUUUUAUAUAUUCUUUCUUAAGAAUUCUAUUAGACCAAUAAUAUUAUGAAUCUAAUAUUACUAGACGUUUGUAAGGCCUAGGUUUACGUUUCUCGGUUCUUAACAACACCAUAUAUAAUAAAGUCUCCUAGAAUCUUAGGGCUCUGAUACCAAUAAUAAACAAAUUAUAUAAAUAAUAAACAAAUUAUAUAACUAUAGUUAGACAGAUAGAUAUAGUAUAGAUAGAUAGUAUAAUGUAAUGAACAAAAGAUAAUAAACAAAUUAUAUAAAUAAUAAAUAAAUUAUAUAGAUAUAGUAUAGAUAGAUAGUAUAAUGUAAUGAACAGAAGACAAAUAUAAUAAUAGAUGUAUAAAGAUAAUAAAGAGAUUAUAUAAAUAAUAAACAAAUUAUAUAACUAUAGUUAGACAGAUAGAUAUAGUAUAGAUAGAUAGUAUAAUGUAAUGAACAAAAGAUAAUAAACAAAUUAUAUAAAUAAUAAAUAAAUUAUAUAGAUAUAGUAUAGAUAGAUAGUAUAAUGUAAUGAACAGAAGACAAAUAUAAUAAUAGAUGUAUAAAGAUAAUAAAGAGACAAUAAUACGGAUAAAUAUAAUAUAGAUAUAAUUAUAAUAAUAAUAUAAUAUAAUAUAUAUUAACAAGCAGAUAAUAUAAAUAUAAUAUAGAUAGAUUAUAAUAAAUAUACAGAUAGAUAUAGAUAUAAUUAUAAUAAAAAUAUAAUAUAAUAUAUAUUAACAAGCAAAAUAUAAUAUAGAUAGAUUAUAAUAAAUACAGAUAGAUAUAAUAUAGAUAUAAUUAUAAUAAAAAUGAAUAGAUAAAAUAAAAACAGAUAACAAUAGAGACAUAUAGAUACAAUAUAGAUAGAUAGAUAUAUUUGGAAAAUACUCCCAAAUAUACCUAAACUUUGAUGAAAUUUGCUGUAACACGCCUGAACUUUGUGGGGUGGGGUCCUAUAACCCCUCUAGAACUUUGCAGGGGUCCUAUGAUCCCCUAAACUAUUUAUUAGCGUAUUUUACUGAUAUUUAUUUGCACUAAAUUCUUUUUUUAAUUUUUUUAGCAUUUUUUAUUUUUUUUAUUAGCAGCUUAUAAAUGUUACUAAAAUACACUAAUAAUUUUGUUAAAGUUUAUGUAUAGUUGAGACUAUUUUCCAUAUAUACAUANNNNNNNNNNNNNNNNNNNNNNNNNNNNNNNNNNNNNNNNNNNNNNNNNNNNNNNNNNNNNNNNNNNNNNNNNNNNNNNNNNNNNNNNNNNNNNNNNNNNNNNNNNNNNNNNNNNNNNNNNNNNNNNNNNNNNNNNNNNNNNNNNNNNNNNNNNNNNNNNNNNNNNNNNNNNNNNNNNNNNNNNNNNNNNNNNNNNNNNNNNNNNNNNNNNNNNNNNNNNNNNNNNNNNNNNNNNNNNNNNNNNNNNNNNNNNNNUAUAAAUUGUAAUUGAUGAAAAGAAUGAGGUUGUGAGUGGUCUCCUUACCUAAUUAUGCACGUGAAUGAUUUUCGAUUAGUAUUAUUCAUAUUAUUAUUGCUCUUGCUUUUCUAUGGUGGUUAUUUGAAUAUUAUUGAAAAGGUGUGAAUCUUCUCCUAAAGCUUUUACAAAGUUCAAGUAUGAGAAAUAUUUUUACCUAAACAAUCGUAUUGACUUAAAGAGCUUGACUAUUUGAUCUUUGAAUUAUCCUAUAAUGGUCAACGAUUCAUGACAUGUAAGAGGUGAAAUAGAACAUGUAAUAUGGCUUAUGGGACUUGCAAGUCUUGAUAUGACGAUUUCAAAUUAGACAAAUGUCGUUUCAGACUACAAACCAUGUUUUAAGAAAGAAGGAUGUUUUAAAUAGCUAAAAUAUGGGCUUAAAGAGAGUUAGGUGGCUAACCGAUAAGACAUGGGUCCAAAACCCAUAGCCCAAAAUCGUGUUUUUCCAAUGAGGAAUUGAUCCAGUCCUGAAAUACGGAUGAUUAUUGUAUAUUUGUUUUAUGCUUUGGUAUAUCAGACCAGACACUCUAAUUCUUGUGGAAAACUCAGAUUGGGGGCUUGACUGACGAGUCAAUGUCGGACCCUGCAUUGAUCGUGGGGUUUUUCAGACCAUGUCGGGUAUGCCACCUAACUCAGAAUUAAAGAACAUCCUAGUGUAGUCCCAGAAAGCAGUUUUUGAUUUGAAAUUCAUGUCUACAGACUGAGUUGAUAUUUUAUGACCCCAUAUUAUAAUUUGUACAGUGUUUUCACUGUUAAUGCUAUUUUAAAUGUUUUUUUAUUUUUACAUUCUACAUGCCAAUACAUUUCAAGUAUUGACCGUCCUCGAGCGACUGCAUUGUCUCACAAUAUAGGUUCUAAGGCUCAGUUUCGUGGUCUAUUUCAGCAGUAGAACCUUUUGGAAGUUUCAAAAUUGGUGAGCCAUCCAUAUCCCGAAACGCGUUCUAUUCAUAUGUUUUAUCUUUAAGUUCAUGGUCUGGCCAGGGGCCUCGUCUUGAUCUAGACAGUUAUUCAUUAAGUAGAGGCUUCGCCGACUGAAUUUAAUAAUUUUUUUAUGACUUGACUUUAAAAGUUUGAUUAUGAGAUGUCCUGAACUUUAUUUUUUCUUCCAUAUUGGAUGUGAAUAAUGUGUAUGAUGGUAUGCUAAUGGGCCUCUCAAGCUUUUGAGGUUUGUAACGCUCAUCACAACCAGGGCCUCAGCUCAGGUCAUGACAAACUUGAUAUCAGAACAUAGUUUAGGGUCAUAGGGUGUUUACGAAGCUGUGUUGAAUAGAGUACCUUUUAUAGGUGUGUAGCAUUCCACACUUAUAAGGGGAAGGCUAUAAGGCAUUCAGGAAUGUGUCUCUUUCUUCAUGUUCUAGUUUGUGCUAGAGAGUCUAGCUACAAUGAAAUCUUCCUAACCUUUGACUUUUUGCAUUUCAGAUCAUGCCUUCAUGAAGAUCUAAUGGUCCCUACUGGGGCAAAUGCUGAGGCGGUCUGCCCUACCCAUGGGAUGCAAACCCAAUACAGAGCCCGUGCUCGUGGCUUUACUUUUCCUCCUGCAGUUCCACUAGCCCCAAUUAGUCCUUUUAGAUCUCCUAUCACCAACAUUAACCGCACUCAGUCUCCACAGAAAAAAGUCUCUAAUGCUGAGUUCCACCAGUCCAUGCACAUGUUUGCUCAACUCGUGGCAUCACAAUUUUAUCAAUCUGUAAAUGUUGGUUUUGUUACUAGUUCUUCUGAAGUCACUCGGGUUGGUCAAUUUAUGAGGAUGAAUCCACCUAGUUUUACAGGGUCCAAGAUUUAGAAAGAUCCUCAAGAAUUUGUAGAUGAGAUAGAGAAGACAUUUAGAGUUUUGCAUGCUAAUGAUACAGAGGGGGUAGAGUUUGCAGCCUAUCAGUUGAAAGGAGUGGCUUACCAAUGGUAUGGUAUGAUGAGUGGGAAGAGUUAAGAGGUAAAAAUGUUGAAUUUGCAGUAUGGGAAAUUUUUUUGAUGCUUUCCUUAUUCACUUCUUUCCUUGAGAGUUGAGGGAAGCUAAGGUUGAGGAAUUUGUGAAUCUAAAGUAGGGUAAGAUGAGUGUCAAAGAGUAUGCAUUGAAGUUCACCCAACUGUCUCGUUAUGCCCUAAAGUUUUGUCCACUAUGAGGUCUCGUAUAAGGAAGUUCGCGUUCGAUCUUUCUAAUGAUUUUGUGUUAGAGUGUUAGGGGCUAUGCUGAACAGUGAUAUGGAUAUCUCCAGGUUGGUAGUGUAUAUGCAGUAGGUAGAGAAAGAGAAGAUUAGCAGGUAGAGAUAGAGGAUAGACAGACUAAGAGAUCUAGGUCUACAGAUCAGGAUGUCAGUCAACAACAGGGUGACAAAUGGGAAAGAAAUAGUCCAAGAAGAAAUUUUAGGGUGAUGUUCAGUCAUCAGCUAGUGCACCUACACCUAGUCAAUCAUUAAUUCCAGCCAAAUAAUGGGUCAAGGAUGCAAGGCCUACAGUCUCAGGGUAGUGUAGUGAUGUGCCAUAGAAAUAUAACACUUACGAUGCUUAAAAUUGGAAAAUAUGCAUGUACUUAAGGUUAUUUUGUUAGAUUUGAUGUAUUUUUGGAGUGUUUUGCAGGAAAUUAGGUUUCAGAUGCUAAAUUCAAGAAAAAGAUGAAAAGUGAUGUUUUUGGAUACUUAUUUAAUCUAUUAUAGAUUUUCGAGACACUUUUUGGAUUAUUCGUGACCAAAACAUGUGUCGAGAUUGAAGAAGAGCUAAAAGAAAUAACUUUCGGCACAUGCUAAGUCAACAUGCGAACCACAUGUAGUACAUGUGGACCGCAUGUGGGCAAAGCACGUGUCAGAAGUCCAAAAUCCCGAUAGCUAACCUGUAGGAAAUUUUGGUCCGAGCACAUGCGGUCACUACAUCCGCCCAGCCUGUAGGCCGCAUGUACCACAUGCGCCCAAGGCCAGGGCACAUGUGGAGACCACAUGUAGCCACCAACCUCAACUUUUCCAGACAAUUCCAAAAUCAUUUCGUAGGGUUUCUAUGUAUCCUAAUUACACUCCUAUGAUGUUUUUAAGUCUUAUUAUGUACGUUUAGUUAAGUUUUCAUAUUUUACUUAGGAUUUGAAUUCUAGGGUUUCUUGUAAUCUAUAAAUACCCUUUAGGCUUUGUUUAGUUUAUUCAUUCACACAUCCAUACAUUCACAUAUCCAGGUGUAGGCCCUUAGGGGCUACUUAUAAUCUCAUUGUUCUUGGUUUGUUUUUGGUUUGUUAUUCAAUUUAAGACUUUGGGAUUUCUUAUUUCAUUAUUAUGAGAUUGAUUUUGCAAUUUUGUCAGUGGACUCCAUGAUUGAUCUCAUAACUAUGAGCGGCUAAUUUCCUUAGCUAGAAUUGUGGAAACCCUGGAAAGUUAACAAAGUAGAGGAAGUGCCAAGUCGUUCUAGAUAAAUAUUCUUACAUGUAUUGGGUUUUCUUCAUUCUUCUUGAUUUCUUAGCAGUGGCGAACAUUAAGAUCCUGCCUAGAUUAUUACUACUUACUCCAAAAGAGGAGUAGUGACUAGGAAAAGAGAAUCACAAUAAUAAUUAAAGUUUUAACUGUUGAUCUACGCUACUAGUUAUUAUCUAAGUAAGUUGGUGAUCUAUCAUCUAAUGACUAGAGACUCAAAGGUAAUAGUUAACUGGGAUCAAGAAAAGGGUUAGUAAGGCGAUAUCCUGAGACUCAAAAGAUAAAGGGUAAAAUCUGUCAGCUCGUCUAAAAGACUAUUGAUGGUACAUAACAUAUCGAUUCUGUAUGCAAGAUAUUUUUAUAGUUUGACAGUUUAUGAUAAGUCUACUGAGUUGAGAAGUCAGGGGGAAUACAAGCCUACUGUUCGUCUUAGAUUGUUUAUAACCAAAAGCAACUAAGCCUUGUUGGCUAGUUACUAUAAAUCCCCCCUUUUUACUUUUCUGCAUUGCCUGGAGAUGUCAACAAGUUUGAGAUAGAUUUUUAGCCUAUUCCUUGUGGGAUCAACCCCAACCUAGUUAGGUUACUAUAUUUUGACAACGACUGCUUUAUCCUUCUAAGGAGUGGUAGUUUGGGUUUUAUCAAAUUUUGGCCCCGUUGUCGGGAAAAUAUGGUUUCAGAGUCCUUUAUUGAAGUUAUUAGUGUUGUCGGAUUUUAUUUUAUUUUUUGUUUGUUUUGUUGACCUACUCUUCUUGAGAUGACAACCUGGCUAAAGGAAAUAUAGAGUGAUGAUGACUCCUUCUUUAUUGAUCCUCUUUCUUUUGUUAUGGUGCAUUACUGCAUGAGUGUGAUAAACAUAUUGUUGGAACACAAUAAGAGCAUUCUUGACACAUUGGCACUUCUUUAAAAAAGAAGACAAGAUCAUAUUCAAAAGGUUGAUAGGCUUGGGUUGGAUAUCUACCACUUACAAGUAGAGUUGGAUGCAAAAGAUGCUGUGUGUAACGCCCAACAAAAUAGUUAUGGGUGGUGUGAAACUGAAAAAGUUCCGAGAAGUCAACUUGAGGAGUUGAAAUUAUAGGAGUCAAAAAUUUCUCAUGCUCUUAUGGAUAGUGUCACUCUUAAGGAGAACAUACUAGAAUUAUGUGGGAAUGUAAAGAAGACUACAAAUCAUGAGUUAGGGCGUGUUGGACCUCAUUCUAAGCAUUUCCACAUUGUGUUUGGAUAGUUAGAUCUUGUUCGAGCCCGAAGAAGAGUGCAAGGAAGAGGAAACAUAUGUUUAUAUUCUUGAAUUUGCUGAACCAGAAACAAAGAACUGCAUUCCUAACAUAAGGGCCAAGAAGUACAACAUAGCACAUCUAUUUCUUGGGACCUUUAUUUUUCUACCUCUGCCCCAUGAGCAUAAUGGGAACUUAGGAAAAUAAUUAGGGGUGCAGUUCAUAAGUUCAAAGUGGAAAGAGAAAAAUGGAGGCAAACUCUUGGGCUACCUUGAUGAAGUCUGAGUAAUCAAGGUACCCAUGGGCUUGUUGGGAAAGUAUGAGUACCCAACCAAGUCUUGUUAUGCCGCAACGUGAAAUCAAGCACUACUUGGGAGGCAACCCAAGGUAUUUUGUUGUUUGUAUUCGUAUUUGUAUUUGUCUAAUCGACGUCAGAUCUCCACACCUAUGGUACCACAAGUAUGUUCCUAACUCUUUUGUUUUGUAGAUGUUUAAUGCAUUGGGGAUAAUGCAUGAUUUUAAGUUGGGGGUGGGGCUGCUUGUGGGUCUUGAUGUCCUCUUGGGGUUUUUGUUGUCGUGCCUCUUUUCCUCGGAGUUCUGUUCCUAGUGAGCCAGCAUGUUUAGGUGUAUUGUGUUUUGUUUUGUGAUAUUUUGUUUAACUAGGAGAAAAAUGAGUAUCUAGGGAAAUUGACAUGUUUUUGUUAAUUUUUGAGAUAAAUGAUAAUAGCUCUCCAAUUUUCUAUUUUUAAACUAUGUGAUACGUAUAUAUAUGUGACUAUUAUGAAUAUUAUUAUGACACUAGGAUUAGGGACAUGAUAAUCAUAGCUACCAAUUGCAUGAAUUGGAUAGGAAGUAACUUAUGAUGUGACCCUGUGCCAUGUGUGUAUGAGAUACUACUUAGUUCCCUUUGUAUGUUGAAUUCAGAACUUGCCCGGUUAGUCUUGCCUAGGUUGUAGGUUAGUCGGUUAGAAAAGGAUCAUAGACCCUUUUUGAUGUUAAUCCACUUUUAGCCUAAAUGACCUUCCCACUGUGAAAUAGUAUCUCUUGAUCCCUGUUUUGAGCCUUAUAGCCUAUUUCUUUGUUUUCACUUUUCAACUUUCCAUUUGUGUUACAAUGAAUCUAUUUUGGACCUGGUCCUCCUUGGACAUUGUGCACCUCAACUCAGGCAAAUCACCUAAGUUGAGGGUGACUAUCAUAGGGGUGUGUAAUAUAAAGUGGGUGUGAAAAAGGGAGAAAUAAAAGAAAAAAAGUAGGGUUGAGUGUGGUAGAAAAAUAAAAGAAAAAGAAAAAGAAAAAAAUAGUGAAAAAGAAUAAGAAAAGCACACCUAACCUGAAUAUGAAACCACACCUAACCUGAAUAUGCUUUAAAAUAAAAAGGGAGAAAUAAGGGAGGAAAUUGGUUAAAAUAUGGACCCCAAAGUUAGUGUAGUGCCAAGGAGGCUUAGUCACUUGAUAUAUCUAUAUUUACCAUACCAGCCCCCAAACCUACAUUACAAGCUGAAUAAAGUCCUAUAGUGAUCCUAACUUGACUGUCUAAAAACUAAGGUAAAGAAAAUAAGGGCAAGCCUAUGGUAUUUGAUGCACUCUGAUUGGAGCUUCUUUUGUGAGUGUGAGUGUCUCUUGACCGUCCUUCAUUUACAUGCAUUAUUUUAUAUGAGUGAGUGGGACUUCUUUGCUGUGAGGGCACGCGGGUUGUAUUGCAAGCUGCUUACUUGUUUGGGUAGUGUUGUUUGUUGCUAAUGUAAUGCCAUAGCUUGAUUCCCUUAUGUACCAUUGUUGUGCUUCAUUGAUACACACAAUUGAUUUUAAAAUGAUUGAACUUAGAGAGGGUAAUGAUCUUGAGCUUAAAUUUGAUGAUUGUUUGCCAUAGGUAUCUUAGGUUUCGAUAUGAGACUCUUGUGUGCUAUGGUUGCGGUGAGGCCGAUAAUUUUCAGAGAGAUUUUCCCUCGGCCAAAGGGAUCUUUGGGGGUACUAAGCCCAAACUACUUCUCCAUCCUCUCUAGCUAAGGGUUCCACUUUCGGUACAGGCGAGGGUCGUAACCGUUUGUAUGGUUUAUCUACUCUUCAGGACUCAGAGGCCUCACCAGAUGUUGUUACGGGUAUGUUACAAAUCUUCUCCAAUGAUGUUUAUGGCCUACUCGAUUCCAGGUAUGCUCCAUCUUAUGUAACUCCUUGUGUGGCUGUGGGUUUUGGAUUUGGCCCUAAAAAUAUUUCCUAACCCUUGUUGAUUUCGACCUCUGUUGGUGAGUCUAUUGUUGCUAGAAAAGUCUAUAGAAAUUGUGUAGUGUCUAUUUUUUGAUCGAGAUACUAUGGUAAACCUUGUAGAGCUUGACAUGGUAGACUUUGAUUCGAUUCUAGGGAUGGAUUGGCUUCAUUCCUGUUUGCUACCAUAGAUUAUAGAACUAUAAAGGUUAUAUUCUGUUUUCCUAACGAACCUAUCAUAGAAUGGGAGAAAGAUUCUUUAGCACCCAAGGGAUGGUUCAUAUCUUAUCUUAGAGCCCAUAAACUGAUAUCUAAAGGUUGUUUGUACCAUCUAGUUUGGGUCAAAGAUUCCAGUACCGAGAGUUCCUCUUUUAGUCGGUACCAGUGGUUAAUGAGUUUUCUCAAGUCUUUCCUGAUGAUCUCCCGCGGAUUCCCCCAGACAGGGAGAUAUACUUUGGUAUUGAUCUAUUGGACGACACUCAACCCAUUUUCAUUCCACCAUAUAAAAUGGCUCCUGCGGAGCUAAAAAAAUUGAAGGAAUAGUUAAAAGACCUUCUUGAUAAAGGUUUUAUUUAUCCUAGUGUCUCUCCUUAAGGUGCUCCCAUACUCGUCGUGCAUAAGAAAUAUAGUUCCCUCUGUAUGUGUAUAGACUACUGACACUUGAAUAAGGUUUUUGUAAAGAAUAAGUACCCUCUACCCAGAAUGAAUGAUCUUUUUAACCAUCUUCACGGUGCUAGAUACUUCUCUAAGAUAGACCUUCAUUCAGAUUAUCAUCAGUUGAAGGUUAGGGAGGCCUAUAUCCCCAAAACUAUCUUCCAAACCUGAUGUAGUGAUUAUGAAUUUUUGGUCAUGUCCUUUGGAUUGACUAAUGCACCUGCAGGUUUCAUGGACCUCGUGAACAUGGUAUUCAAAUAGUUUUUUGGAUUUAUUCAUCAUAGUUUUCAUUGAUGAUAUUCUGAUUUACUCCAAGAGUAAGGAGGAUCAUGUCGAUCACCUACGGAUCAUACUUCAGACCCUUAAGGAUCAAGAGUUGUAUGUUAAAUUUUCUAAGUGUGAAUUCUGGCUUAGUAUAGUAGCUUUUCUGGGGAAUAUUGUUUCUAGUGGAGGGAUUAAGGUUGAUCCUCAAAAGACUGAGGUAGUGAAGAAAUGGCCUAGACCCGCAACUCUAACUAACAUUAGGAGCUUCUUGGGUCUGGUAGGUUAUUAUACGAGGUUUGUGGAGAGUUUUUCGUCUAUAGCUGCUCUACUUACUAGGUUGACUCAGAAGAAGGUAAGAUUUUAUGGUCCAAGGCUUGUGAAAGUAGUUUUGAGAGAUUGAAAGACAAGUUGACCAGUGCACUGGUUCUGACCCUUCUCGAAGGUACAAAUGAAUUUGUUGUGUAUUUUGAUGCAUCCCGAAUGGGACUUUGUUGUGUACUUAUACAACAUGGUAAAGUGGUAGCUUAUGAAUCCAGAUAAUUGAAGCUUAUACAACUACGUCAUGGUUAUGUUGAAGCCUUGGACCUUGUGAAGUAAGGAUGGUCGGCCAGCUCGAUUGUUAACACGAAUCAACUCUUUUGGGGAAUAAAAUAAAAGGAAAAGAAAAAAUAAAAUACAAAUGAUGUUAGUUUUAAUAAAAAGAUCAAGUAAAGUGUGCUCAUGUAAAUUUAGUAGAUUAUGUAGCAAGUGGUCAAGUAAAGUCAAAUAAAUUAUAAGAUAACAUGUAGACAAAUACAUCAAGCAAUAAUAACAUGUUCCUAAUAUGUGGGUGACUCCUUUAUGCCGGAGGUAGGUCUAAGCGCCAAAUAUUAAGCGACAUUUUGAUAAAUUGAUCCAAGCUUUAAUUAAUGACAUUACUUGAGUUUGGAGUUAAAAAAUUUUAAACUCAAUUUUGGACAAAUUUUGGCUUGGAUCAAUUUGUCAUUAUCUUUACUCAUAAUAUGAGGGUCGUCAUUGGGUUGUGAAACCCAUUUGACAUAAAAGGUGUUUUCCUAGUUGUGGAAUGACACCAUGGGUCAAGCCAUCUAAGGUUUAUGCAUGCAUGACCUAAAUCAAAGGUGGUAACGCUCUAUCUUAAGCUUUCUAAUAUUUAGGUAGUCGCAGACUUGAAUUUCCUAUAUGAGAAGGCACGUGGUCCCACGGCAGUAAAACUCCCGCUCACUCCACAUAUGCGCUGACUCUCUAAAGUAAGAAGAUUUGAAAGAAUUUUGGGAAAGUAUAAUCCACAUGUACAAUGUGUGUGAGUGUCAGUUUUUUGAAAUGGAGGAAAUAUAAACGGAAUGUCAAUUUAUAUAAAGCGAUAAACAAAUAAGCAAUUUAUAGCAAAUAAAUAAUUUAUGCCCCACAAACAUGAUAAAUCACGACAAUUAAGGUGAAACAAAUAACAAUAUAUAAAAAUUUAAAUAUUAACCUAAGCUUGUUAAGGUUAAGAACCUAAGUCCCCAGUGAAGUCGUCAAGCUGUCGUACUCCAUUUUUAUACGGGUCAAACCGAGGUACAAUAUAUUGGAAACCUCUAUGUAAAAUUAAGAAAGUCGUUACCUAAUCAGUAUUACGAAGAAUUAGGACACCCAUUAUAAACUAUGUGAUUAAAAGAAAAUAAGGACUUCAUUUUAGAUCUACACAAUUUAAAAGAUUCUAGGUAAGGGUUCUAAUUAUCCUAAAGGGAAGGGGAUUAGGCACCCUAAAGGAUCCGUCAACUACGAUUAACCGGCCGAACUUAGGUUAAUAAAAGAGCUAUGUGUAAAAGAUGAAAAAAAAUGCUAAGUGAAAACACUUGUUGAAAAUAAAAUUGAAACUAAAAAGUUGUAAAAAUAUUAUUUAUUCUUGAUUUGAGGAAAAAAAAAAAGGAGAAGGAUCAAUUUAAGUUGAUAAAAUAUUUUGGUGCCAAUAACACAAAUACUGAAAAAUGAUUUUUGAAAAAAAGUAGAACAACCCAAAACGUGUGUUACAACUUUUGAGAAAAAGAUAACUGACGCUAUUCAUUUUAGUUGCUACAAAAUUAUUUGUUUUACUCACAAAAAAACCAUUAUAGCUAAUUUGCAAAUGAAUUAUAUUUAGUUUUAAUGUUCAAAUACAAACUCUGAAAAUUCAAAUAUUCUAAGGUUGUGACAAAAUAAGGAAAGAUUUUGAAAAGAACCUUGGACACAAAGUAAAAUUUGAAGCUCGUGAAAUUCGAUUUGGCAAGAAAUCAUUUUUUGGCUCGAAAAUGUACCACACGAGAAAAUGCAUAUAUCAAAAUUUUCAAAAUUUGAUUAACCUGACCCGAAAUGAUUUGAACCAAAACUAAACGAUUAACUCACUGAUCUUAUGAACUAACAGGCCAACCCAUAGAUUACUUUUGCUUACAAACAACCAAAAGCCAGUCUUAUAUCUGUGGUCAUUUACUCCCAACUACUUCAAAAAUCAAACAAAUUAUUAAAACAAACACACAAGUAUUCAAUGUGAAACAAGCCAAAACAAACACACAAAUGUUCAAGAUGAAACAACUAAAUGAAAGUUAUCAAGUAUGACGCUACGAAUAAGCAGCUAAAGGAAGAAUAUAGCGGAACGUUUGACACUUCUUCUUACCUCUCUUUGCGAUUUCUAUUCGGAUAGAGUCUCUAGGGAGCGAGAGCUGUUUGUGAAGAUGUAUAUGCACGUUUCAACUCUUGCAGUGACGACGAGUUUUAAAGUAAACUCUUCGACUCCGAUGUCCAUGUAAGAAAAUUGAAUUAGCUAGAAAGAAUAUGAUAAAGAAAUGUGCGAAUAAAAGUUAAUAUAACUUGUGAGCUUACAACGCAACAAAUAAUUUUUAUAUGCUACGAAAAUUGACUAACUGAUCUCAUAUUUCUUUGACUCGAAUAAAUCUUUACAAAAACCCAUAUUUGGAACUCCCUUUCUAUGAUUAAACACGAGGAAUAGAUGGACUGCAAGAAAAGUUAAAGUACCUUAAAGACAAAUUUAUCUAGAGUUAAAAAGGGACUCUGAAGGCUCCUUUUAUAUCCAAAAUAAAGGAGGGCUUGCAACGGUUCUCUAGUUUGAAUUCUUGGAAAGCCCAAAUCACAGAGAGCAAACAAAGGGAUGAAAUUGGAUAUAAAAGAAAAAGAUUGAAUUUUUACCUUAGGGUUAAUUUAAAAAGGGAAAGAGAUGGCUUGGAAGCUUUUACUUUCGGACCCAUUAAAUUAAGGUUGGAAUCGAAGGUGAAACCACCUUGAAUCCAUUGAAUCUUCAAAUUUAUCAUCUUCUCCCUAAAUUGCAGAUUUUUGGCUCUAUUUUUGCUUUAGAAAAGUGAUGGAAGAGAUGGGUGAUGUUGACGGACAUGGAAAUAGAAUUGGGGAGAGAAGAGACCACUGGAUUUUCCAUUAUCCUGUGGUUUCGGGGUUGCUCAACGUCACUGGUGGAUAUUAUUUUUGUUGUUGCUUGUGUUGUUGUACAUUGGUAUUGUUGUUGGUGUGUUUUAUUGGGUAAGGAGAAAG